rnacentral:rRNA from 1 species
UGCAAGUCGAGCGAUCUUCUUCGGAAGAGAGCGGCGGACGGGUGAGUAACGCGUGGGUAACCUGCCCUGUACACACGGAUAACAUACCGAAAGGUAUGCUAAUACGGGAUAACAUAAGAAAUUCGCAUGUUUUUCUUAUCAAAGCUCCGGCGGUACAGGAUGGACCCGCGUCUGAUUAGCUAGUUGGUGAGAUAACAGCCCACCAAGGCGACGAUCAGUAGCCGACCUGAGAGGGUGACCGGCCACAUUGGGACUGAGACACGGCCCAAACUCC